rnacentral:lncRNA from 1 species
AAACAACAACGACAAAAAAGCAUGGACCUCCAGAGCAGUGGUUCUCAAAGUAUGGUCCCCAGACAAGCAGCAGCAGCAGCAGCAUCCCCUGAGAACUUGUUAGAAAUGCAGAUUCUUGGGCCCCACCAGUCCUACCACAUCAGGAACUCCAGGAGCGGGCCAGCGAUCUGGGUUUUAACAAGGCCACCAGGCAAGUCUCAUGCUCAUGAGGUCUGAGGCCCACCAUUCUAAAGGAACUCAGCAAACACUGGCUUACAGACACAGCCGAAUGUUGACCUUGUUCUUAUGAGUCUGAAAUCACAGAGCACUAAAGAUGAAAGGACUUGUUCAAGUGUCUAAUCUGGCCUUGAACCUUACAUGUGAAGGAUCUGAGUGACAGAGGAGGAGUGUGGCUUGUCCAAGCCCUCCUGGCAGGACUGAGAUUACAGCUCCGAACAAAGGCAAAACCCAGAGCCUGGGAAAUGGGCCACACAGUUGCAGCCUUUCUAAUUUUUUUAAAAAAAUGGAUUAAUAUUAUUGUUUGUAUGUUUUCUACGACGCAAGUCAGAAGAGCAUGGUCUCCUUACCUCAACCUGGUCCUUUCAAGGUCUCUUUCGCUUGUUUUGGCGGUGGCAGAGGUGCAGAGCCCGCGCCUGGGGGACGCAGCAGCCGGCUCUGGAGCAGACUAUCCCGCAGCCUGCUCACUCCGCAUGGGCUGCGGCUGGGAUCUGACUUUUGCCAUUUCAAAUUCACUUGGCCUCCGGGCAGAGGCAGACCGCCCGAUUCUGCGCUCACUGGAGCCCCGGCUCCCUCUGCUUCUGGAGAGGAGAUUUAGCCUUAAUUUUUGUGACAGAUGGAGUUGAUAGUCUCUCCACGGAAAGGGGAGGAAAAAAGCGCCAGUUUUUGACAGGCCGCAGACGCCCGCUGCCUCUGGCGGUGGAAGGCUGCGUUGCGCCGCAGUUAAGGUAGCUCGCCGACUCCCGCGCCGGGGCUGCAGAGGCUGCUGUGCCCAGCGGCUCCCCUCAGAGCCGGCGACGGACGGAAACUUACACUUUAAUAGAAACCUCGGAUGCUCAGGACUCAAAGAUGGGGAGCUCGAAGAAACAAGCUAAAUUCUGAACCCAAUCGACGGCACAGAUGGGGACCAGGGAGAAUUAAUAAAAUUUCCACAAAAAGGAAAAAAGGAAAAAGAACCAAACAAAAAGGCCCAUGACCGAGCCGGAUGCAAACAGCUGCCCCUGAGGCCUGCCCGCUGGUUCUGUGCGCGAGCAGGGGCUCCCUAUCCGAGCCUCCUUAAGAGUAGGAGGAGCUCCCGGGCCUCUGUCAGGCUCCUUAAGCCGCUCCUUUCAAGCCCUGAAUGUCUGAAUGUGAGCUGCCCACCACCCUCCCCACCCUCCCCCACUCCGCAACCCCACUCCAGCGGCUCG